AAAAAAAAAAACCUUUCCACAGAAUAGAUGCGUAGAUGUGUUACAGAAAAAACGACGCCACAUGAACGCAACAUAGGCAUCCAUGGAGCUGCAUUAGCUUUGUGAAUGCCUGAAGCCACGGUGCUCAUAGAAUUCCCGGUGCAAUCUGCGGGACCUUAUUGCGCUGCGCUGAUAUGUUCUCUAUCCGCUAUCCUUCUAAUACUCAAUGAAGCGUCGCAGCAGAGCAGCUUCCCCCGACAGCAUCCUGCUGCUGCGCAACCAAAACAUCCAUCCUGACCCGCUCCCCGAAAGAUGCUUUUAUUUAUUUCACAGAAAAGCCAUGAUGGUGCCGGUGGUGCUGAGCAGGGUCGACAUGACUGGAGUCUGACAUCAGCAGCGUGCGUGUGUGCGCGCGCGUGUGUGCGUGUGUGUGCGUGUGUGUGUCCCCUCCCCUCUCUGACCGACCAACGAGAAAAAGGUGGGUGGCACUUCAGCGGAAAAAGCAGCAUUGCCUUUUAUUGUUUGAUUUAUCUCUCCCUUAAAACGUGCGUGUUUUCUUUGUUUUUUAGAUGGUGUUCUGGAACAAAAGUCAUUUGUUUUUACAAUUAGAGAUUACAUAAAGAGGUCGGAUUGUGACCAGGAUUAGAAUGGUAUCUACUACUCUAAAUAUAUAUUAGAGUUCUCAUUCGAGGCUAAAGAAAAAGUCCAGUUUAAGCUAACUAAAUUCAGUAAAUGUUUGCUCAUUUAAGAAUCAUUUUCCAGGAAUAAGAGCAGCAAAGUUUCCGCAUCCUUUUCAAAUGGGAACACUGACUAAAAAUGAAUUAGUGUGCCGCAAAUUUGUGUUUGCGUGCAUGUUAAUACCUCAUAUGGGUUAUUUAGGUCAGCAAGCAUGAAAGACUGCUGGGAGAAGACACUGCCAUAUUCAUUGUACGUUUUAUUCUUUAUUAUGGGUGUGUUCCAUAAUGAUCAAUCAAAACCCCAAAUCCUGAAACACUGAAUCAUAAAAAAAACUAUUUUCAUGACAUAUGGAAAGAUGCAGUAGCGCCAAGAAUAAAAAGGGUCAGUGGCGAGUUCCUUUUUCAGAAAGGCAUGAACGGCCUGUAGCGGCAUGGACCCGCCUCCUCAUCCACAUGCUAAUCCCAUGUAAACGAGCAGCUUUUACGACUACGUGUUUUGCAACUGAAGACUCGAGUCAUGUUUGAAAAUGUAGUAGUAUUAGUUGUAUACAAAAGUCAUAUUUCCAUGAGAUCAAGAGGGAAAAUACACUGCUGUGAAUCAUAGUUAUGUUUGUGCAAAACGGUGAAGCAUUGAAUCAGAUUGUCAUAACGUCCAUGAGUCACUGAGACUGACAUGUCUUUCAUAUGAUCGGAACAUGACAAUCACUGAGACUGAUUCAGAGUGCCAUGGCAACACUGAAACAAUAGACGACUAUGCAUGCUAAAAUAAAUGAACUGAGAACCAAUUUACCAGUGACGGCGAAACGAGAUGAGUCAGAGUGCGUACACACACACACGUUGUUCCCAUUGGUCAGUCAGACCAGCUCCAGUAGUUAACAAAACAUUGGCCAAAUUACUAGUUUUUAGGCAUUAUGAGCAAAUACAGAAUCCCUUUAUCUUCUCUAUCUUAUCAUUUCUAAAGCCUCACAUUAAGCAAAAGAAGUAAAUUAUAAAAAAAAAAAAGAUUUGUCAACUGCCACUUUCUGAUCUUGGCGUCACUCUUUAAAGAUGUACAAUACGUUCAAUGACAGAAAUGAUUCAAAUAUGGAGAGUUGUAAGCCCCAUAAUUAAAAGCACCACCGAUAAUAACAGCUGUAGUGGGUGCAGUAGAUUAAUAAUGACAACAAAGGAAGAAAUGGUGUCAGCAAUAGUAAUGUGACUACUACUAACUUAACAAAGACAGUAGCAGUGAGGCAGGACCGCUGCAAGAUCCAAGAUGGCCGCCCGUGUACUGUGCUCCCGUAGUCUUCUGUUUGUUUCUCUCGUCUGCAGCUCUCUCUCUGAUCGCAUUCAGCAGGGAGGAUCUUUAAAACAUUAGACGACACACUGUUAAACAUUUCUGACGUAUUUCAUGAGAAUGGAAAGUUCCACGGAGCUUUUGGUUGCAGGAGCAGCUUCUCUCGUCUGGAUUUGCCGGAGACGACGUUGGGGUAAACGAGCUGGAGCCCUCUGUUAAAGCUCUUUUCAGUUUACAGUUUUGAGCUUGUUCUGCUCCAGUUCUUCUGACCACACCAGAGGACCAGCUUGUCCACCUCCUGCCUGUAUGAGGUGAGUUUGUAGGAGUAAAACUGUUUGGUCGAUGAGGUGCCAGGGGACGGGGGGAGGUGGCCGUCCUCCUCGGCAGACAGGCUCGGAUGCAGUGGUGCUGCUAGCAGGCAGCCGGGGACAGUGGGAGGCAGAAGAGGGGACAGAGUUGGAUUAGGGAACGGCGAUGGAAAGUCCAGAGUUGCCGUCUUGCUGCUUGUCUCUUCUGGCUACAGCUUGGGCCUCCCGCCUGGCAGCACGAUCCACCACGACGGCGUCAGACGUCUGUCAGUAGUCUGGCCUUGGAGAAAUUUCUCUUGAAAAUGAAUUUCGGCCAUGAGGUGGGACAGGUCUACUACAAUCAAUAUUGCCAUGGGAUGGGUGGUGUAAGUAUCGGAAGGAGGGGAAGCUGGAGGUUGGUUCUGGGGAUUGGGAAAAGGGGCACAGCCCAGGAAGAUGCUGAUGGGUUUGACGGAGGUGGCGAGAAGGCCCACGCCGCGGCCCGGACGGCAUGGCCUGUGACCAUUGUAUGCUAUUAGGUCCAGAGGGUUGAGGCCACCGUCAGUCUCUGAUGCUUCACCCUCUUGUAGGUGUUUCUUGGAACCCUUCAAAAAUCCUUUCAGAGAUGAAGAAGCAGUGGAUCACUGCCAACAGAUCACCUGCAACACCGAAGGAAUCUUACUUCAAGGAUCCAAAAAAAAACCAGGGGCUGAAGGAUGUGACAUGUGGUGGCAGCCAUAACACAAUGAGCCUCUGCAUAAGCGGGUGUUCCUGUGCGACAAAGUGCAGGCCAGGGCGGUGAUAUGUUCCCUGGCAUGCCUCCCACGCUCAGCGAUGUCUGGUGUCCGGGCAGUGAGGCAAUGGUUUGCCGUUCCCUAAAGUGUAUCCUCCUAAAGCCUGAUCAUAAGAGCCCCUGCUGGCUUUCAACAGACACUUAUACACACACACACACACACACACACACACACACACACACACACACACACACACACACACACUCACACACUCUCUGUACAGCCAAUAAUCAAAAACAAGAGCAACCCAUAUGCACAAUAAAAAACUUAAUUCAAAUAGAAGUUAAAAAACGAAAUAGUUAAAACAUGCAAUUAAAUAAAGUUAACUCACUCUGGUUGACUCAGUUUCAUGUUUGUGCCACUAGAUGAAGCCGUUGACCAAUAAAUUCUGUUUGUGUAAGUGAAUGUGUGCGGCGUUCACAGAAGGAGAUUAAAGGGAUAUCGAUGACUGUUGAAUUUUGCGUGUGGUAUUGAGUGUUAGCAAUAGUCACUGUUCUGCUGACGUGUGUAUAUUUGCCGUUGCAUGUGUGCUCCCUUUAGAGCUCCAGGAGGAGUCUGGUGGGAGCAGAUGGGGUCCUGAUGCUGGAGCUGGAUCCUAUUGUUCCUGGUCAUUUGGAUUUGGUCUGCAAACAGAUCAUUAGGUCUGAAUGAGACUUAUGGUGUCAGUGAAAGCAGCGCAAGGCCGACUUACGAGGAUCCCAUGAACGCCACGUCGAACCAGAAAGCCAGGCCGUGC